rnacentral:rRNA from 1 species
UACGUAGGGGGCAAGCGUUGUCCGGAUUUAUUGGGCGUAAAGCGCACGCAGGCGGUUUCGUAAGUUUGGAGUGACAGUGCUCAGCUCAACUGAGCAAGGCCUCUGAAAACUGCGGAACUUGAGGACCAGAGAGGGACAUAGAAUUCCGGGUGGAGUGGUGAAAUGCGUAGAGAUGUGGAGGAACACCAGUGGCGAAGGCGACUCUUUGGCCUGUAACUGACGCUGAGGCGCGAAAGCGUGGGGAGCAAACAGG